UUGACACAUUUAUGUCAAAUUUUUGUGACAAAGGCCAGAACUCUUGUUAUGAUGUAUAUGUUUUGAGGUGCACUCUUGUCAUAAAUUAA